AUUGAACGCUGGCGGCAGGCCUAACACAUGCAAGUCGAACGGUAACAGGAAGAAGCUUGCUUCUUUGCUGACGAGUGGCGGACGGGUGAGUAAUGUCUGGGAAACUGCCUGAUGGAGGGGGAUAACUACUGGAAACGGUAGCUAAUACCGCAUAACGUCGCAAGACCAAAAAGGGGGACCUUCGGGCCUCUUGCCAUCGGAUGUGCCCAGAUGGGAUUAGCUAGUAGGUGGGGUAACGGCUCACCUAGGCGACGAUCCCUAGCUGGUCCGAGAGGAUGACCAGCCACACUGGAACUGAGACACGGUCCAGACUCCUACGGGAGGCAGCAGUGGGGAAUAUUGCACAAUGGGCGCAAGCCUGAUGCAGCCAUGCCGCGUGUAUGAAGAAGGCCUUCGGGUUGUAAAGUACUUUCAGCGGGGAGGAAGGGAGUAAAGUUAAUACCUUUGCUCAUUGACGUUACCCGCAGAAGAAGCACCGGCUAACUCCGUG
rnacentral:rRNA from 1 species